UGCCCUGUACUGGGGAAUAGCCCAGAGAAAUUUGGAUUAAUGCCCCAUGGUAUGUAUUAGCGGCAUCGCUUAUACAUUAAAGGCUACGGUACAGGAUGACUAUGCGUCCCAUUAGUUAGUUGGUAAGGUAACGGCUUACCAAGGCAGCGAUGGGUAGGGGCCCUGAGAGGGGGAUCCCCCACACUGGUACUGAGACACGGACCAGACUCCUACGGGAGGCAGCAGUGAGGAAUAUUGGACAAUGGGCGGGAGCCUGAUCCAGCCAUGCCGCGUGCAGGAAGACGGUCCUAUGGAUUGUAAACUGCUUUUGUACGGGAAGAACAAGGGGCACGUGUGCCCCUCUGACGGUACCGUAAGAAUAAGGAUCGGCUAACUCCGUGCCAGCAGCCGCGGUAAUACGGAGGAUCCGAGCGUUAUCCGGAAUCAUUGGGUUUAAAGGGUCCGUAGGCGGGCCAUUAAGUCAGGGGUGAAAGUCUGCGGCUCAACCGUAGAAUUGCCCUUGAUACUGGUGGUCUUGAGUUAUGGUGAAGUAACUAGAAUAUGUAGUGUAGCGGUGAAAUGCAUAGAUAUUACAUAGAAUACCGAUUGCGAAGGCAGGUUACUAACCAUAUACUGACGCUGAUGGACGAAAGCGUGGGGAGCGAACAGGAUUAGAUACCCUGGUAGUCCACGCCGUAAACGAUGGAUACUAGCUGUCCGGAUGCAAAUCUGGGCGGCCAAGCGAAAGUGAUAAGUAUCCCACCUGGGGAGUACGUCCGCAAGGAUGAAACUCAAAGGAAUUGACGGGGGCCCGCACAAGCGGUGGAGCAUGUGGUUUAAUUCGAUGAUACGCGAGGAACCUUACCAGGGCUUAAAUGUGGUCUGACAGCUUUAGAGAUAGAGCCUCCUUCGGGCAGAUCACAAGGUGCUGCAUGGUUGUCGUCAGCUCGUGCCGUGAGGUGUCAGGUUAAGUCCUAUAACGAGCGCAACCCCUGCCGUUAGUUGCCAGCAUGUAAAGAUGGGGACUCUAACGGGACUGCCGGUGCAAACCGCGAGGAAGGUGGGGAUGACGUCAAAUCAUCACGGCCCUUACGUCCUGGGCCACACACGUGCUACAAUGGCCGGUACAGAGAGCA
rnacentral:rRNA from 1 species